rnacentral:rRNA from 1 species
AUACGGGGGGAGCAAGCGUUGUCCGGAAUCAUUGGGCGUAAAGGGCACGUAGGCGGUUUCUUAAGUCGAAUGUGAAAUCUCACGGCUCAACCGUGAAACUGCGUUCGAAACUAAGUGACUUGAGUUUGGGAGAGGUGUACGGAACUCCUGGUGUAGCGGUGGAAUGCGUAGAUAUCAGGAAGAACACCAAUGGCGAAGGCAGUACACUGGCCUGAAACUGACGCUGAGGUGCGAAAGCGUGGGGAGCAAACAGGAUUAGAAACCCUAGUAGUCC